rfam:Vibrio aerogenes CECT 7868 genome assembly, contig: 0015
CGUGUUGGCUGAGUCAGAGAUUGGCUGACACAUCUUAAAAUCUAAACUCUCAGGAGAAAUAUAUGUCUCUGAAUGCUGAAACUAAAGCAGCAAUCGUUGCUGAAUACGCGCGUGGUGAA